UCCAUAGGUUAAUGAGGCGAACCGGGGGAACUGAAACAUCUAAGUACCCCGAGGAAAAGAAAUCAACCGAGAUUCCCCCAGUAGCGGCGAGCGAACGGGGAGGAGCCCAGAGCCUGAAUCAGCAUGUGUGUUAGUGGAAGCGUCUGGAAAGGCGCGCGAUACAGGGUGACAGCCCCGUACACAAAAGCGCAUGUGCUGUGAGCUCGAUGAGUAGGGCGGGACACGUGGUAUCCUGUCUGAAUAUGGGGGGACCAUCCUCCAAGGCUAAAUACUCCUGACUGACCGAUAGUGAACCAGUACCGUGAGGGAAAGGCGAAAAGAACCCCGGCGAGGGGAGUGAAAAAGAACCUGAAACCGUGUACGUACAAGCAGUGGGAGCACCCUUCGGGGUGUGACUGCGUACCUUUUGUAUAAUGGGUCAGCGACUUAUAUUCUGUAGCAAGGUUAACCGUAUAGGGGAGCCGGAGGGAAACCGAGUCUUAAUUGGGCGUUAAGUUGCAGGGUAUAGACCCGAAACCCGGUGAUCUAGCCAUGGGCAGGUUGAAGGUUGGGUAACACUAACUGGAGGACCGAACCGACUAAUGUUGAAAAAUUAGCGGAUGACCUGUGGCUGGGGGUGAAAGGCCAAUCAAACCGGGAGAUAGCUGGUUCUCCCCGAAAGCUAUUUAGGUAGCGCCUCGUGAAUUCAUCUCCGGGGGUAGAGCACUGUUUCGGCUAGGGGGCCAUCCCGGCUUACCAACCCGAUGCAAACUGCGAAUACCGGAGAAUGUUAUCACGGGAGACACACGGCGGGUGCUAACGUCCGUCGUGAAGAGGGAAACAACCCAGACCGCCAGCUAAGGUCCCAAAGUCAUGGUUAAGUGGGAAACGAUGUGGGAAGGCCCAGACAGCCAGGAUGUUGGCUUAGAAGCAGCCAUCAUUUAAAGAAAGCGUAAUAGCUCACUGGUCGAGUCGGCCUGCGCGGAAGAUGUAACGGGGCUAAACCAUGCACCGAAGCUGCGGCAGCGAACGUAUCACCCAAGACAACUUUACGGAGUUGACGAUUGACGGAGCGAAGCGACGUCAAAGCGUUCAUUAAAGUCGAGUUGGCUUAGGGAUACGUUCGUUGGGUAGGGGAGCGUUCUGUAAGCCUGUGAAGGUGUGUCGUGAGGCAUGCUGGAGGUAUCAGAAGUGCGAAUGCUGACAUAAGUAACGAUAAAGCGGGUGAAAAG
rnacentral:rRNA from 1 species